AAUACUGUUCUCGUUUUGGGUACCAUGUAAGGGUUUAAUAGGGAAAGUGGUGAGAUGCCACUACAGCCCCCGCUACUGUAUACGGAGACAAAUCUUUAAUAACCACUGGUGUACAUUUUACACUGGGAAGGAAAGAGGAGGAUGACACGUGAGUCAGGAGACCUGCCUAAAAUGUGCGCUACAC
rnacentral:ncRNA from 2 species